rnacentral:lncRNA from 1 species
CACAUUGCAGGUUGGCAGACACUUCUGGGUUCCUGCUUGGUCGGCGUGGGGAGGGCCCACCCAGGGAGGCCGGGGUGGUCGGGCUCCUCAGCAGGGUCCCCGGGUAGGGGGUACCGCAGGCCACAGCAUGGCCUCUCACUAUCCCAAACCCUCCAUCCCUGAGUUGAUGCAGGGUGGCCCUGACCCGUGAGCCUGGGCAAGGGGACGCUGGAGCCUGGGCGAGGGGAUGCUGCAGCCAGGGUGAGGACGCAGACCCCUGAGGAAGCCGGCCUGAGUCACGUGGGCCUGGAAUCCAACACAUUCCCAGGGGGCUCUCGUUCCUGUCCUUUGGAAACACCUCUCCCGGAACCAGCCAGCACUGAGGCUGAGGCAUCCACCAGCCCUCAGGGGCCCCUGAUCUGGCUGAGACACAAGCCCCACCUGGGUAUAGGAAGCCCUGGCAGCCCCUGAAGAACCUGGGUUGAGAGGGAGCCCCCUGGGUUUUCGGGACACAAGGUAUCGCAGCACCAAAUCUAUAUAUGCACCCAAUGAUCAGGCGUCAAAAUAAAAACACUGAUAGAAAUGGAGAAGGAGUGAUGGACAUGUCCCCGUUCUAGUAGGCUGCCUGAAUGCAGGCAAAAACCAGCAAGCACGCUGGAGGCAGGGCAGCCGUGGCCACCUGACACGCACGGCUGCCUGACAUGCACGGAGCCUGGCCCCUUUCUCGACGGAGCACACGCCGUUCAGACGUGUGCAGAACAUUUACCAAAACCAACCAGGGCUGCACCACGUGCAGCCACUGCAGAGUCCCCAGGACCGAGACCACUCGGUGUGUUUUCAACCACCAGGACAUUAAACAGGAAGUCAGUCAUGAAAAUAGACCCGUGAGAAACAGUCGCCUUGAAAUUAAACAAGAUACAAUCAUCAAGUCAGUCAAACAAGAAAUUGCAAUGGAAUUUAUAAAACGGACUUAGAGAAUGAAAAUACUGAGGGAAGAGAAAAGGAAAAGUCAGUGAGGCCGACAGCCAAGGCUGGUCUUUGGAGAAACAGCCUGAAAUGUCACAGCCACAGGCAGAGAGAGAGCUGCCAGGCAAAACCAAGCUGCGGCAGCACUGGUGAGUCGGGGGGAGGGAGGGCAGCAGAGAAGCCUUCGUUCUCCAGGUCAUCAGCCGGCUGCCAGGGAAAGUUUCCUCCCCUUUUCAGGCAUGAACACGGUGGGCUCCGAGGGAACCUGCAUGGGUUGUGGGAGGGGGUGGGGGCUUAUCCAAAACACACCCACAGCUGCACAAACAAGAGAGGCUGCGCUUUGUGCUCCCUAAAGACACACCCGCAGCGGCACAGAUAAGGAAGUCACAAGAACAGCGAAAGAGACCAGCGGACUUUCUUAUCAAAGCGUUUGGAUUCAACUGUGAAAAUGGCAGCCCACUCGGGCCCCCUCUCCGCCACAGAGAGCUUUUUUCUUUCACUUAUUAAACUUUCGCUGCAACUUCUCCCUGUGUCCACGCGCCUUAAUUUUCUGGGUUGUGAGACGAUGGACAACGAGCUCGGAUAACACCUUAGACAACGUGACCAGCAACCCUAGACCGUGUCGAUCCUACGUAUCAAAACUUGGGAGACUAAAACGGGGGUUAGAGGAAAAAUACAGCCUUGAAUACAAGAAAAAACCCAGAAAAACCUUGAUUUAAGCUUUGAUUUCAAGAAGCUGGACAACAACAUAAAUCAUAUCUAAGGACAGCAAAAGGCAGGUACGUCCCGGCCUGGCCUGCAUGGGGCGGGGGCCGCGGAAGAACCCUGCGCCCUCCACACGGGACUUGACGUCUGCUCUGCCCUGGCCCCUCCUCGCUGGAGCACCAUCAGCAGCAUUCAUGGAUGAGGACGCAGCUCACAGGAGGCCCUGCCGACCCUCGCUUCUGGUCCACACCCACCCGCUACCUGAGCAGGCCAAUGGAGGCUGGUUGCAUGCAGAGCCUCGAUUCCAUCAAUUCACUCGAGGCACGGGUGACUGGUGUUGGAGCCAGACUUGGGAUAGAAGCAGGAGCACCUACCGAGGGGCCCGCCUCCCAGUAGCAGUUCUGGGGCUACUACCAAUAAAGCUGCUGCCAACAUUCAUGUGCAAGGUAUCCACAGAUCCUGAUCCACAGACGUGAUGGGGGAGUAUCUGAUCCCUGUUAUUCCAUUUCAGCUAGAAGCAGAAGUCAGCUGGCUUGUAAGGUAAGUUACAGUGGGGUUU